rnacentral:rRNA from 1 species
UUGGCCUACCGUGGCAAUGACGGGUAACGGGGAAUUAGGGUUCGAUUCCGGAGAGGGAGCCUGAGAAACGGCUACCACAUCUAAGGAAGGCAGCAGGCGCGCAAAUUACCCAAUCCUAAUACAGGGAGGUAGUGACAAGAAAUAACAAUACAGGACUUUUUGGUUUUGUAAUUGGAAUGAGUUAAGUAUAAACCCCUUUACAAGUAUCAAUUGGAGGGCAAGUCUGGUGCCAGCAGCCGCGGUAAUUCCAGCUCCAAUAGCGUAUAUUAAAGUUGUUGCAGUUAAAAAGCUCGUAGUUGGAUUUCUGUUAAUAAUUUAUAUAAAAUAUUUUGAUGAAUAUUUAUAUAAUAUUAACAUAAUUCAUAUUACUAUAUAUUUUAGUAUAUGAAAUUUUACUUUGAGAAAAUUAGAGUGCUUAAAGCAGGCAUAUGCCUUGAAUACUCCAGCAUGGAAUAAUAUUAAAGAUUUUUAUCUUUCUUAUUGGUUCUAAGAUAAGAAUAAUGAUUAAUAGGGAC